rnacentral:rRNA from 1 species
UGGGGAAUUUUGGACAAUGGGCGAAAGCCUGAUCCAGCAAUGCCGCGUGUGUGAAGAAGGCCUUCGGGUUGUAAAGCACUUUUGUCCGGAAAGAAAUCCUUGGCUCUAAUACAGUCGGGGGAUGACGGUACCGGAAGAAUAAGCACCGGCUAACUACGUGCCAGCAGCCGCGGUAAUACGUAGGGUGCAAGCGUUAAUCGGAAUUACUGGGCGUAAAGCGUGCGCAGGCGGUUUGCUAAGACCGAUGUGAAAUCCCCGGGCUCAACCUGGGAACUGCAUUGGUGACUGGCAGGCUAGAGUAUGGCAGAGGGGGGUAGAAUUCCACGUGUAGCAGUGAAAUGCGUAGAGAUGUGGAGGAAUACCGAUGGCGAAGGCAGCCCCCUGGGCCAAAUACUGACGCUCAUGCACGAAAGCGUGGGGAGCAAACAGGAUUAGAUACCCUGGUAGUCCACGCCCUAAACGAUGUCAACUAGUUGUUGGGGAUUCAUUUCCCUAGUAACGUAGCUAACGCGUGAAGUUGACCGCCUGGGGAGUACGGUCGCAAGAUUAAAACUUAAAUGAAUUGAC